rnacentral:rRNA from 1 species
CCUACGGGAGGCUGCAGUGGGGAAUAUUGCACAAUGGCGGAAACCCUGAUGCAGCGACGCCGCGUGAGUGAAGAAGUAACUCGUUAUGUAAAGCUCUAUCAGCAGGGAAGAAAAUGACGGUACCUGAGUAAGAAGCCCCGGCUACCUACGUGCAAGGAGCCGCGGGAAUACGUAGGGGGCAAGGGUUAUCCGGAUUUACUGGGGGUAAAGGGAGCGUAGACGGCAGUGCAAGUCUGGAGUGAAAGGUGGGGGGUCAACCCCCGGACUGCUCUGGAAACUGUACGGCUGGAGUGCAGGAGAGGUAAGUGGAAUUCCUGGUGUAGCGGUGAAAUGCGUAGAUAUUAGGAAGAACACCGGUGGCGAAGGCGGCUUACUGGACUGUAACUGACGUUGAGGCUCGAAAGCGUGGGGAGCGAACAGGAUUAGAUACCCUUGUAGUC